rnacentral:rRNA from 2 species
GCGGCGGACGGGUGAGUAACACGUGGGUAACCUGCCUGUAAGACUGGGAUAACUCCGGGAAACCGGGGCUAAUACCGGAUGCUUGUUUGAACCGCAUGGUUCAAACAUAAAAGGUGGCUUCGGCUACCACUUACAGAUGGACCCGCGGCGCAUUAGCUAGUUGGUGAGGUAACGGCUCACCAAGGCAACGAUGCGUAGCCGACCUGAGAGGGUGAUCGGCCACACUGGGACUGAGACACGGCCCAGACUCCUACGGGAGGCAGCAGUAGGGAAUCUUCCGCAAUGGACGAAAGUCUGACGGAGCAACGCCGCGUGAGUGAUGAAGGUUUUCGGAUCGUAAAGCUCUGUUGUUAGGGAAGAACAAGUACCGUUCGAAUAGGGCGGUACCUUGACGGUACCUAACCAGAAAGCCACGGCUAACUACGUGCCAGCAGCCGCGGUAAUACGUAGGUGGCAAGCGUUGUCCGGAAUUAUUGGGCGUAAAGGGCUCGCAGGCGGUUUCUUAAGUCUGAUGUGAAAGCCCCCGGCUCAACCGGGGAGGGUCAUUGGAAACUGGGGAACUUGAGUGCAGAAGAGGAGAGUGGAAUUCCACGUGUAGCGGUGAAAUGCGUAGAGAUGUGGAGGAACACCAGUGGCGAAGGCGACUCUCUGGUCUGUAACUGACGCUGAGGAGCGAAAGCGUGGGGAGCGAACAGGAUUAGAUACCCUGGUAGUCCACGCCGUAAACGAUGAGUGCUAAGUGUUAGGGGGUUUCCGCCCCUUAGUGCUGCAGCUAACGCAUUAAGCACUCCGCCUGGGGAGUACGGUCGCAAGACUGAAACUCAAAGGAAUUGACGGGGGCCCGCACAAGCGGUGGAGCAUGUGGUUUAAUUCGAAGCAACGCGAAGAACCUUACCAGGUCUUGACAUCCUCUGGCAAUCCUAGAGAUAGGACGUCCCCUUCGGGGGCAGAGUGACAGGUGGUGCAUGGUUGUCGUCAGCUCGUGUCGUGAGAUGUUGGGUUAAGUCCCGCAACGAGCGCAACCCUUGAUCUUAGUUGCCAGCAUUCAGUUGGGCACUCUAAGGUGACUGCCGGUGACAAACCGGAGGAAGGUGGGGAUGACGUCAAAUCAUCAUGCCCCUUAUGACCUGGGCUACACACGUGCUACAAUGGACAGAACAACAGGCAGCGAAACCGCGAGGUUAAGCCAAUCCCACAAAUCUGUUCUCAGUUCGGAUCGCAGUCUGCAACUCGACUGCGUGAAGCUGGAAUCGCUAGUAAUCGCG